UACGAAGGGGGCUAGCGUUGCUCGGAAUCACUGGGCGUAAAGCGCACGUAGGCGGAUCUUUAAGUCAGGGGUGAAAUCCUGGAGCUCAACUCCAGAACUGCCUUUGAUACUGGGGAUCUCGAGUCCGGGAGAGGUGAGUGGAACUCCGAGUGCAGAGGUGAAAUUCGUAGAUAUUCGGAAGAACACCAGUGGCGAAGGCGGCUCACUGGCCCGGUACUGACGCUGAGGUGCGAAAGCGUGGGGAGCAAACAGG
rnacentral:rRNA from 1 species